GUAAGGGUAAUUUUUCGUCAAUGGGCGCAAGCCUGAACGAGCAAUGCCGCGUGAACGAGGAAGGUCUUCGGAUCGUAAAGUUCUGUUGAAGGGGAAAAAGAGCGGAGAGAGGAAAUGGUCUCCGAUUGAUAUUACCCUUCGAGGAAGUCACGGCUAACUACGUGCC
rnacentral:rRNA from 1 species